UGCCAGCCGCCGCGGUAAUACGUAUGUCGCAAGCGUUAUCCGGAUUUAUUGGGCGUAAAGCGCGUCUAGGCGGAAAAGAAAGUCUGAUGUGAAAAUGCGGGGCUCAACUCCGUAUUGCGUUGGAAACUGCUUUUCUAGAGUACUGGAGAGGUGGGCGGAACUACAAGUGUAGAGGUGAAAUUCGUAGAUAUUUGUAGGAAUGCCGAUGGAGAAGUCAGCUCACUGGACAGAUACUGACGCUGAAGCGCGAAAGCGUGGGGAGCAAACAGGAUUAGAUA
rnacentral:rRNA from 1 species